GUUUCUAUAGUUUAAAGAAAAUAUAAUAUUGAAAAUAUUAAGAUAUAAUUUUAGAAAUA
rnacentral:tRNA from 1 species